rnacentral:rRNA from 1 species
GGGAGUGAAAUAGAACCUGAAACCCUGCACUUACAAGCCGUGGCAGCACAUUUCUUGUGUGACCGCGUACUUUUUGUAGAACGGGCCAACGAGUUACGUUAAGUAGCAAGGUUAAGCACUUAAGGUGUGGAGCCGUAGCGAAAGCGAGCUUUAACUGAGCGUUCAGUUACUUGACGUAGACCCGAAACCGGGCGACCUACCCAUGAGCAGGAUGAAGCGAAAGUAAAAUUUCGUGGAGGUCCGAACCCACGAGCGUUGAAAAGCUCGGGGAUGACUUGUGGGUAGCGGUGAAAUUCCAAUCGAGCCCGGAGAUAGCUGGUCCGAAAUAGCUUUAGGGCUAGCCUCAAGGUGAGAGAUAC